ACUAUUUUGGCAGAUUAGUGCAGUAAAUUUAGAAUUUAUUUAUAUAAAGAUUUUUAUAAAUAGUA
rnacentral:tRNA from 1 species